AGGGAAUCUUCGGCAAUGGACGGAAGUCUGACCGAGCAACGCCGCGUGAGUGAAGAAGGUUUUCGGAUCGUAAAGCUCUGUUGUAAGAGAAGAACGAGUGUGGGAGUGGAAAGUUCACACUGUGACGGUAUCUUACCAGAAAGGGACGGCUAACUACGUGCCAGCAGCCGCGGUAAUACGUAGGUCCCGAGCGUUGUCCGGAUUUAUUGGGCGUAAAGCGAGCGCAGGCGGUUAGAUAAGUCUGAAGUUAAAGGCUGUGGCUUAACCAUAGUACGCUUUGGAAACUGUUUAACUUGAGUGCAAGAGGGGAGAGUGGAAUUCCAUGUGUAGCGGUGAAAUGCGUAGAUAUAUGGAGGAACACCGGUGGCGAAAGCGGCUCUCUGGCUUGUAACUGACGCUGAGGCUCGAAAGCGUGGGGAGCAAACAGGAUUAGAUACCCUGGUAGUCCACGCCGUAAACGAUGAGUGCUAGGUGUUAGACCCUUUCCGGGGUUUAGUGCCGCAGCUAACGCAUUAAGCACUCCGCCUGGGGAGUACGACCGCAAGGUUG
rnacentral:rRNA from 1 species